rnacentral:lncRNA from 1 species
AGUUUUUUCAUUUACGAGUUAAAAAAAAUAAGAAGCAAAAACCCGAAAAGGAAAGGCAAGAGAGUCGCUUCACUGCUUGAUCAGAUCAGAGAGAAGAAUAAAGAUCAAAAAACUUUCAACCGACUCCAACCUUAAAUCGCUCCACCAUUAUCUUUCUUGCUCGUUCGCUCCGUUAAACCCUAGUAAGAUCCCUCAAAAUCAUCGACUCCUUUUCGUCUGAUUAUUCUCCUUUUUUUUAAUCCGGGAAUAUCUACCAAAUAUAUUAAUAAUGUAUUUUUUUUUAAUAUUCCUUGUGUCUAGUAAUAGUAUAUAGUUGGGCCUCUUGUCAUUUCUAUUUGUUAAUUGACAAAUUUGAGGUAAAACCGUGUGAAAAUUGGAAUCUUCAGUCCUGCACGCCAACACCUGCUCUUAUAUCCUUUUGUUUCUCAGACAUUGGAGCUUUGUGAAGUUACAGAUUCUAGAAAG